GAGCACGUAGGUGGGUUUGUAAGUCAGAUGUGAAAGCCUUCUGUUCAACGGGAGAAUUGCAUCUGAAACUACAAACCUUGAAUAUAGGAGGGGAGAAUGGAACUUCUGGUGGAGCGGUGAAAUGUGUAGAUAUCAGAAGGAACGCCGGCGGCGAAAGCGAUUCUCUGGCCUAUUACUGACACUCAGUGUGCGAAAGCUAGGGGAGCAAACGGGAUUAGAUACCCCGGUAGUCCUAGCCGUAAACGAUGGGCACUAAGUAGAGGGGUUUU
rnacentral:rRNA from 1 species